GACGAACGCUGGCGGCGCGCCUAACACAUGCAAGUCGAACGGAGCUGAGAGAAGCUUGCUUUUCUUAGCUUAGUGGCGAACGGGUGAGUAACGCGUGAGUAACCUGCCCUGGAGUGGGGGACAACAGUUGGAAACGACUGCUAAUACCGCAUAAGCCCACGAUCCGGCAUCGGAUUGAGGGAAAAGGAUUUAUUCGCUUCAGGAUGGACUCGCGUCCAAUUAGCUAGUUGGUGAGGUAACGGCCCACCAAGGCGACGAUUGGUAGCCGGACUGAGAGGUUGAACGGCCACAUUGGGACUGAGACACGGCCCAGACUCCUACGGGAGGAAGCAGUGGGGGAUAUUGCACAAUGGGGGAAACCCUGAUGCAGCGACGCCGCGUGGAGGAAGAAGGUUUUCGGAUUGUAAACUCCUGUCGUUAGGGACGAUAAUGACGGUACCUAACAAGAAAGCACCGGCUAACUACGUG
rnacentral:rRNA from 1 species